AAGUCAGAGUCUGCCACAUCCUCGGCUCAGCUGAGUUUGCGCUGUAGAGUUGGAAGAAACCAGCAGGAAUCAUUCAUCUCUGUACUGAGAACAGCCUGGCAGGAGAGAGAAAUAAGGGGUCGAUUUGAGAAAAGGCUCCCCACACCUUCAUUUGGCUUAGAGCUCUGAAGAGUCUAAUUCCAAGGUCGUGACUACCAAUGACCCUAAAAGCUUCAUAUUGCACAAAAGGAAGGAACUUUAACCCUACCCAGAAAGCCUAAUUGCAAUUGGAGUAUCACAUCUCACUGAGCAGACCCGGCCAACUGCAUCAAAGCUACUGAGCGCAUAGACACAAGAAACAAAUGUGAAGAAACUCCUGCUCAAAAAUUUAAAACCCUGUUUUUUUUCCUGGAAAAUUGCAAAAUUUGGUGAAAUGCAUUCUCGUCUGCAUACCAGCUCUGAUGUUACCCCCCACCGCUACCUGCAGGCUCCAGUGAAGCAGCAGGGGGGACAAUUGCGCUUGAUUUCUAACUAUUAACAGGUAAUUGAAGAAAAACUAUUAACAAUGGGUGAUUGCAACAUGAAGCUGUCAACAACAAAUAGUCAAAACUUCAACAGCAACUAGCCCAACCUGUUUAACUUUGCAGCCUUAAAAAAAAAUGGAUAACUUUCUUACUCAUAAC